GCGACUGUCACACUGGGGACUCGCCCAGACCUGGACAUCAGAGACACAUCAGACUUCUUGAAGGGGGAUCCAUACUGUCGGAAAAGGACAAACAAAGUGUCCAGGACCUGGCUUCUGCUUGGGAUCUCCCUUCCCUCACUGAAAACAACAGGAUGGUGGCUUUUUGAGAAGCUGUUGAUCCAUGCUGUAAUAGGGCGCGUCAUGAGGCAAAUCAAGCAACUGAGACGGAGUUCUGAAGGAAACCCCAAUGUGGACUCUUAUGACCCAAAGACCUGACACAGUGGCCUUGCUCCUUCCUCACUAUGCAUCAAGGAGCAUCAGCGCUGCGGGCAGUCAUGUUGAUGACAUUGUGGGGCCAGCCCGCCACGCCGUACAGCUACUCAGCUCAUCUGACAGACGAGACAACAGAGACGGGACAGAUAAGCAGACCAUCAUCACUCCAGAUGGAAAUGACCAGGU